AACGCGACAUGAGUAGUGAAGGGAGGUGCAGGUGCAGGUGCGAGGUCACGCGGCGCUCGGACAGACAGAAAGUGAAGACAGGACUUUGACGGCGGGAAUAGGUGACGGAUUGACAGAGAGGCGAGGACAAGUGAGCGAGGGACACUUUUGCUGCUGACGUGCACAUCAUCUGCUGGGUUGACUACGCUGCUCACUGUGUCGAGUUCUUCCUUCAAUCCCCUGGAUUCCGGAUGCGGAGUCACCUACGAGGGCGACCAGCAGUGAGCAAGGCCAGAAAAGUCAACCCUCCCAGAGACCCUCCAACUAUUUCUUUGGUGAAAUUUGGUUGAGGAUACACUUCUACUUCUGCUUCAAUCUGACAGGAGGGUUGUUGUUGGACCCUGUGGAGAAGAAGAUGUACUCUUGUGUGUCGUACUCCAGACUGGCUGUGCUGGUCAGCAGGAAUUUGGCAGAAGGAAGUCCGAUCUGUUGAAGAUGCAUGAGCCUGAUGUAACAUCUCACUGGAGUAAGACGAAGCCCAGAACCCGACUUGUUUAUGCAUCGUUUACCUGCUCGAUCCACCGUGAACUGAGGUUGGCUGAUAUUUUGUACUCUUUCACCGUCUGCCUUCCCAUUAACUGAGUGCAUCUGAACACGCUGCACCUCGCUACAGAGCAGUCCUGUUGGUGAUGCAGAGGAAACAGGAGCAUAAUGACAAAGCCCCUGUACGCUGCAGUUUAACAGUGAUACAGUAGUUAAAGGAAAACUUCACAGAUUUUUAAUGGGGGUUAACUUCGGCAGAUGGUUUGCCGUGGGCUCAAAAACUACAACUAGUCCUUCCUGGUUUCCUCUGUACCUGCCGCAGCAAUGGUCCAGCUGAGAGGGGGGUGGAGCCAGUCUGCUGGAGCGCACCUGCUCUGUCCGCUAUUGCUUUUCCUUGCAUACGCGUACAGCACUAAUAUUAAAUGGACAGCACAGUCUGAUAUUUGUGGUUAGUUGUAAGAGCCAGAGUACAGCCCCAACAAGCUAUGCUGUUUGGAGUAGGACGAGGCUGCCUGUAAGGAACCGGUGUUCCGCAUUAAGUCACGACCACGUUAACUGGCGACCAACUUCCGAAUGCCACCCUUGUUGCUCUUGGUUACGGUAGCUGUUUGUAGCAAGAAGAAGGCAUGUUAGCUGUCCUUGCCGAUGCCGUGUCAAUGUUUUGUUUAUGUCUUGUCAUCUGUUGCAUCUGCCAUGCAUUAAACGUAUCUAACAUGUUUGAGGUGGUCUCGCUCUGUGUUGUGUUUUUGACAAACAGUCAUUGUGGCUUCAGUUUUGUGCGGAAGCGGAGCAGCCAGCAGCUUCUCGUUCAUACGUUUGGUAUAGUUCUACAUCUAAGCAAUGCAGGCUCGCUUUUACUUUUCUUGUCCGUGAGCAUUUCUGUAUGAUAAAACUGUAUGAUAAACUAUUUGGUGAGUCAGACAGGAAUUACUGUAAAACAUGAACGCGCAGCCAUGAGUGUGCGAGUCAAACAAAUAAAUAAUCAUUUCUUUGUAUAAAAAUUUUGGAGGAAUCUCAGUGUCCGGUUAUUCUUACAUACUACUCGAGGUCAUUUUAGUCAACCGCCAUUGAGAAUUGGUGAAGUUUGCCAGCCAAGUGGCAACAUUCAUCACAGCUUUUGUGCAACAUUGCCAAGGACUCUGAGGGCAUCCAGUGUAUUUACCAGUGGUUUCAGCUCUUGGUCUUUACACACAGAUGUUUCACCACAGUCUCAGUCUUACAGUAUGUACUGUAGAUGCUAAAAAGCUCAAUUUUGUGAUCUGGCCUUCAGCAACUGACUAAUAUUUCUCAAAUGUUAGUCAGCCACUCAAAAAUUAAAUAAAUGAAAGAUCUUAGACUUUCUGGAAAUGAGGUUUCAUGCAAACAGACUCACCACUGCCUUAUUUUUCUGUAUUUGAGGGACAAAGUCCUGGACGUCUGGUGGCUGUUCUUUGUAUUUCAGGCAGCCUUCAAUCUGGAGCAGAGCCAACGCAUGUCAGUUCAACAACGUGCACCCCGUGUACCGCAGCUGGAGACAAAGGUACAAAGACGGCAGGUCAGGCAGACGGUCCCCGCUACGGUCGAAGGUCGACUGACUGAUCAACAGACCGAAGAACUUCAGUCCGGACUGAACUUCAGAAGCAGGAAUUCUCUACACAAAACAAAUGAUUGUAAUGCUGCCCUGACCGUCGUCCUCCAAAGGCGAGCCCACUGCCAGAUCGUUGAGCCCGUCUGUGUUCAGAUCAGGCAGCACAGCGAGAGAAGACCCAAAUCUUCCUUUGGCAGAUGCGGCGCCUCUCAGUAUUACCGAUGAGAGAGAAGCUGCAGAGGUUGAGUGAAUUGGCUCAGUCACACAUGGGGGAGGCUCAGAAGCACCAGAAAACCUGAUAUGACUGGUUAGCUCGCAAGAGAAGUUUUGAUCCAGGUCAGAAUGUUUUAGUGAUGCUGCCAACCAGUUACAGCAAGCUGCUGGCUAAGUGGCAGGGGCACUUUGUGGUGGAAGAAAAACUUGCACCCACCACCUAUCGAGUCUCUACUCUAGGGAAGAAGUACUCCAGUGGUGUUCUUCAUGUCAACCCUUUGAAAGGAUGGAUCCCAAAAAAUGCUGUUAAAGCAGAUGUGUUUUAAUCCAAGGGGUGCUGCUCCACAUUGAGAGGAGCCAGUUGAGGUGGCUCGGGCAUCUGUUUUGGAUGCCUCCUGGAUGCCUUCCUGGGGAGGUGAAUCGGGCAUGUCCCACCGGCAGGAGGCCCUGGGGAAGACCCAGCACGUGCUGGAGGGACUAUGUCUCUCGGCUGGCCUGGGAACACUUUGGGGUCCAUCCAGAAGAGCUGGAGGAAGUGUCAGGGGAGGGGGAAGUUUGGAACUCGUUGCUAAGACUGCUGCCCCCGCGACCUAUAGUUCUAUAUACUAUACGGUUUUGCAUUGACUUCCGGUUUCUGAAAUCCAAUUCUGAAAUUGGAGAUUCUUACCCAACUCCAUGGAUUAAUGAUCUCAUUGAGCGUUUGGGAAAAUAUAUGACUCCCAUUCAUCUGUGUAAAGGUUAUUGGCGGGUGCCCUUCACAGACCAGCCUCAGGAACUAACAGUCUUUCCUACCCAUUGGGGCCUCUUUUAAAUCACUCUUGUGCCUUUUGGGUUGCAUGGAGCUCCAGCAACAUUUCAAAGCCUUACUGUAUGGUUCAGGUACUGUGCGGAAUUUCAGACUUUGCCUAUGCAUACCUCGAUGAUAUUGUCCCAGCACAACCUGGCAGGUGCAUGUGGAGUACCUGGGAAAGGUACUGAACUGCCUACAUUCUGCAGGACUGACCAUCAAUCCAGCAAAGUGUGCACUUGCCAGAAGGGAAACGGAAUACCUUGAUUUCACUAUCGGAUGUGGGUUAAUCAAACCACAAGUCCAAAAAUUGCAUGCUAUUCAGUCAUGUCCUCUUCCCCAAAUCAAGAAGCAGCUCAGAACCUUUCUCAAGAUGGCUGGGUUCUACCAUCGCUUCAUACCAAAGUUCUCCUCAAGGGCUGCACCACUGACUGACAUGACGGGUUCACAAUGUCCAAACCAGGUGCAGUGGACCUCAGAGGGAUUGACUGCUUUUUGGGAUAGCCAGCUCUCUAUACCAUUUGAGGCUGGUGGUGGAUGCUCUCCGGACCUGGUAAAAGGGUGUGCCCAAAGAAUGUCCACCAUUUUAUACAGAAAGUGGGUCAUGGGUAGUGAACCACUAGCCAUGUUCAUUAAGUGGAAAGUUACAUGUAGGUUUUUGGUUCAGUUGGUUUCAUUCUUUAUUCUAUUGAAUUGUCAUUUGCAUAUGAUUGUUUAGAUUUAUAAGUGUUAAUGAUAUACUGAUUGUCCUGUUGUAUUUUGAUGUCUUUCAUUGAGUUUAGCAGGUAUUUGUCCUUACCCCUGUGUGUUUUACUGGCCUGAUCAGCCAGAUAUGUUCCUCUGUGUGUUCGGGUGAGUCGUUUCUGGUUAAGCAUUUGGUCCUGUUGCCUUACUGUUUAGAAUUCAGUUUAGUUUGUGAACUUCUUUUAGGGGCCCAGAUUGGUAAUGGUAUUCUAUUGUAUUUUUCUUUUUUUUCUACUUCAUCUCUAAAUAAAUCUCAUUCUUUUAGACAAAUCCACCGGUGUCCUUCUCCUAUCUGCUUGGUUUCUCACACUUCUUUGUAUUUUAUAGACAAAUUUGAAUAGUCAGGUUUAAGAUGGGUUCAGUUGAAGAAUUAGUCCAGUCUCUCAAAGGAUUUGUAUGGAGUCAAGUUAGGGUCAGAUUAGAUUUGUGCGUGUGUAAACCAAUCUGUGCAGAUCUGAUGCAGUUGCGCAAACGUUAAACUGGUCGUUUUGUCAGACAUUAAUGUAGCAUGUUAGCCGACAGGCUAUUAGCAAUGCCAUGCUAUGUUAUGAUGUACAGUAGCUGGAGUUAGGGUGGGUUAGUUCCAGUAACGCUACCGUUGUGACUGUGUGUGAUUGUGUAUCAGACCACAAUAAACACGUUUGCUUUAGGUGAGUACUUUACC